CAGUCGAGCGGACAGAUGGGAGCUUGCUCCCUGAUGUUAGCGGCGGACGGGUGAGUAACACGUGGGUAACCUGCCUGUAAGACUGGGAUAACUCCGGGAAACCGGGGCUAAUACCGGAUGSUUGUUUGAACCGCAUGGUUCAGACAUAAAAGGUGGCUUCGGCUACCACUUACAGAUGGACCCGCGGCGCAUUAGCUAGUUGGUGAGGGUAACGGCUCACCAAGGCRACGAUGCGUAGCCRACCUGAGAGGGUGAUCGGCCACACUGGGACUGAGACACGGCCCAGACUCCUACGGGAGGCAGCAGUAGGGAAUCUUCCGCAAUGGACGAAAGUCUGACGGAGCAACSCCGCGUGAGUGAUGAAGGUUUUCGGAUCGUAAAGCUCUGUUGUUAGGGAAGAACAAGUGCCGUUCAAAUAGGGCGGCACCUUGACGGUACCUAACCAGAAAGCCACGGCUAACUACGUGCCAGCAGCCGCGGUAAUACGUAGGUGGCAAGCGUUGUCCGGAAUUAUUGGGCGUAAAGGGCUCGCAGGCGGUUUCUUAAGUCUGAUGUG
rnacentral:rRNA from 1 species